rnacentral:lncRNA from 1 species
CUUCAAAAAUCCAAUUAAAACACGACAUUUUUCUCCCAUUCGUAAGAUUCUCAUCCCUUCUCAAAAACCACUGCGCCUCCUGCCGUUCAUUUUCCUUAGCGACCUCUUCUUCCUGUUCUGCCAUCAGUGCUGCCAUUCAUUUUCUAGUAAGGACACCUGUGCUGCCACCAAUCCACCACAGCCACCAUCCUCGACUUCGCCCAGCGCCUCAGCUCUAACUCUCCGCCUUCCACCGUCGACCGCGGGCGCUAGCUCUCACUCUCGUCGUUGCCUCCCAAUACCCAAAUCGAAAUAUUUCUGUAAGGUAAGGAUUCUUCAAAUUAAUACCCGUCCCUGUCUUUAUAAGGGUCUAGUUUCUUGAAGGAAUUGUAUGAUUAAUCUAUUGAAUGAGUUAGCAUGAAUCAGAUUAAUACCUAAAAUCAGAUUAUUGUUUGGCUAUUUCCUAAUUCGUUAUGUCAUUCGACUUGAUGAUGAAAUUAAUUUUCGUAUUGGCUGUGUUGUUUGAUUUUUGAAUGAAUUAAAUUUAGGUGUUUUCAGUUAUAUCUCUUUCAAGAAAGAUCUUCAACUAUUGAAGGUACUUUUAUUUAUUUCCUUGGUGAAUUGAUUAAAUUGAUUCUUGACAAUGCUAUUUGGAACUUUUACAAGGAACGUUCUGCAAUAUAAAGCUCUAAACAGACUUCUUUAAUUGAUUUAUAAGUGGCAAUUUUCUAUGUGGAACUAAUUUAACAACAGGUAAAUUUAGGUCUUGUAGAGAAAAUAUUGAUUCUUGAUUCGGUUAUUAAACUCAUUAGUUGAAUUAGUUAGUGAGUUAGAAAAUCAGUUAGGAGUUUGGUUCUAACUAAUUUUCUGGUAGUCGUUGUAGCUGAAUAUUAGAUGUAUUUUCUUGUAAAUCUUUACAUUCCUAUGCCUAUAAAUAGGAUAGAGGGCUGAGAGCCUGAGAAUGUGAGCAAGUCUGAGAACGUAAGAAUGUGGGGGAACACAUUCUGUAGUUAAGAGAAAGUGAGGUUAAGAGAGAGAAUUCUCUAUAGACAACUUCUGCAACUUUCUGUGUAAACUUUCUGAGAGUUUUCUGGUUGUUCUCGGGUGAGUGAUGAGUGUUGUUGUUGUGUAAUUCAAACACUGUAAUAAUUCCUCUCGUAAUGGUAGAUUGACUGGGGUUAAAUCCCUGCAAGUUGGUUGAUGAAAUUUAGUCCCAAGACUAAGAAAUUCUUGAGUCUAUUUAUCUGAUUCUUUGCUGGUUUUAUGUUCUGCCAUUGCUGUGGUUUCUUUCCUGUCUGUUAAUACAAAUUUGUGAAUGAUCAUUGUUUCCUGGGAAAUGGGAGAUUGGUAAAAAUCCUAACAGGUCUCUUCUAAUAUCACUUGAACAAAAUCUUGGCACAAACCAUUAAGAUUAGUACUUUUUAGUACAUAAGCAGUAUUACAUUACGAGUAAUUGUAGUUACCCAGAGCAAGUAACAUCCAAGAGCUGUGUUAGCAUAAUACUAGUACCACAAAAAUUUAAAUCGUCCACCAUUUUCAGUAGAAAAUUAACCGAAAUUUGUCAUUCGUAAUGCAAGUUUCUCAUAGAAUAUACGAAAAUGAAGAUAAACUAAGUAAACUUGUUGAUUGAUUGGCUUGAAGAUUUCUUUUGUUAGUGUUCGUCCAUAGAAGAUUUCGAGUUUUUAAAUUUUUGGCCGUCGAAGAUUUAUGAUUUUUUAAAGUAGAAAUUUGAUUUCCACACAAUAUUUGGAUUAUCACAAAUUGUUGAGAAUUUUUCUCUUCCUUCUGUUCCCUCUCUUCUUUUGUUGUGCCGCGCCAUUAGGCCUCAUGGAAGGUGCAAAGAGGGGUCUGGUUGAGGGGUGUGUAGAUAAAGGGCUGUCAUUUGCUGGUGUUGUUGAUAUGUCUAGCUUAAUAUCACAACUGUUUUUACUUCUGUUAUUGCAAGAACCUUCCAUUUCUUGAUGUGUCAAUCCAAUGGCCAUAACACUAUCUUCAAUCUUUUCAAAAGCUGACAUGAAAGAUUGAAUAUAAAAUCACUUGUUAUAGUUCCCUUUAAAGUUUAAAUCCUCUAGUAGUGGCUACUAAAGAGAAGCUUUUUGAGGAUAGAAAAGACCAGAACGGAAGAUUUUUAGAUUUGGAAGAUGAAAAGAAGCAGGAAUCCAAAUGUCCUUGUUAUUAAAUAGUACAUUUGGAUUAAUAUUAGAACUAGUAGAAAUAUCCUCAUUAUCAAAUAGUACAUCAUAGCUAAAAUCAAAGGUUGAAAUCUUUUGUUGUGCCUGCAAUGUUGGGCCUAAAACAAAGGCUUUCUAUUUGUCCAAAUUACACAAAUAGGGAUAAAAUAGGGGACUGAUUUGAAAAAUUUUGAUUUUUGUUAAAUACGUCAAAAAUACAACAUAAAUUAACACUUAAAGAAAAAUAUGGCAAUUAUGUGUAAUAUUUUUUUUUUUGGCAAAUUACACUUUAUAUAACUUCUUUAUAAUAAAUGUAGCUUACAUUUUUAUUUAUUCUGUUACAUAGUUUUGGGGAGCACCAAUUAUACAUUAUCUGCUUUAACAGCUUCAAAUUGUCUCUUAAGAACUUCAUAAUCUUUCUCCAAUUUGGUCUUCCACCUUGCCCUAAUGAAAGUUUAUUUGCAAAAUGACUUACCUAAUUGGAACUUGAUUUCUAAGAUGCCCUAAUAUAAUUGUUUUUAUUGUGUUAUAACAGAUUAUAAUUUAAUAGUGUUGGUGUAUUAUCAUGGAUAAAGAUUGGGUACACUUAUCAAGGUUAUCUCGUCCUUUUAAAUUCAGAAUAUUUUAAAAUAUGUCUUCAAAUGCUUUUUAAAUGAUUUAUUUAGCAUUUUUCAUAGAGUUUCAAAGGCGUAUCAACGUGGUGCAAGAAAAUUUGCAAAUAUGGUGCAAGCCAAUGCGAGGAAUCCAGAAAAGGUCAUAUGCCCUUGCAAAUGUUGCAAAAACCUAUUCCACCAACAUUUUGAUGUAAUGUAUGGGCAUUUGAUCAUUAAUGGCAUCGAUCGUACGUAUACUACCUAGGUGUUUCAUGGGGAAAAAUCAAAUACAGCAUCAUUGCCUCAAGAUGUAGAAAAUUUAGAGACGUAUAGGAUGUAUAGAGAUGCGUUUUUUCAGAAUCAUAAUAGUGUAGAACGCGAGAAUGAAGUUAGAGAGAAAGAUUUUUCAAAUCUAUAUGAAGGCGUAGAAAUUCCUUUAUAUCCUGGUUGCACAAAGUAUACAAGGAUAUCUGCAACUGUUGUCUUAUACAAGCUUAAAGCUACAUAUGGUAUAUCUGAUAAUGGUUUCAAUGAACUUAUUGAUAUUAUCCAAGAUAUGCUACCACGUAGGAACACCCUUCCUAAUUCUUGCAAUGCAAUAAAAAGGUUAUUGAAAACCUUUGAUUUUGGGUGUGAGAAGAUACAUGCAUGCGUAAAUGAUUGUUAUUUGUUUAGAAAUGAUCUAGAGAAUUUGGAUACAUGUCCGAAACGUGCAUCUUUACAGUGGAAAGUUCAUGAACGGACUAAGAAGAUUCAAAAAGGGAUACCUGCAAAGGUUCUGCGAUAUUUUUCGAUUAUACCAUGAUUUAGAAGAAUGUUUAGGUCACUUGAUGAGGCAGAACAGUUAAUAUGGCACUCAAAUCACAAAAGUCUAGAUGGAAAAAUGCAUCAUACAGUUGAUUCAUUAGCUUGGGAGAGAACUGAUAAAAAAAUGGCCUUGUUUUGCAUCAGAACCACUAAAUCUUAGACUUAGCCUUUCUUCUGAUGGAUUUAAUCCCUUUGGUGACCUAAGUUCUAGGUAUAGUUGUUGGCCAGUGAUACUAGUCAUAUAUAAUCUCCCUCCUUGGAUAUGCAUGUCUAAGGAAAAUUUGUUGUUGACUUUAUUAAUCACAGGUCCCAACCAACCUGGAAAUGAUAUAGAUGUGUAUCUAAAACCACUAAUAGAAGACUUAAAGGAGUUGUGGAAUAUUGGUGUUGAAGUAUAUGAUGGAUUUACCAAGUCCACCUUCAAUUUGAAAGCUAUAUCGAUGUGGACAAUUAAUGAUCUUCCGGCUUAUGGGAACUUAUCAAGAUAUCCUACGAAAGGAAAAGUAGCAUGUCCAGUAUGUGAUUUAUCCACAUGUGCAAAAUGGUUGACUUAUAGUUGAGAAGAACGUUUGCGAAAGCAUUCUUGACACUAUUUUGCAUGUGAAGGGAAAAUCAAAGAUGGGUUAAAUUCCCGUAAGUAUUUACUCAAUAUGGGUAUUAGAAAGGAGAUUCAUCCACAAUUAAAAGGAAAUAUAUAUUACCUCCCCUUGGGCGUGAGGUUCGUAUUGGUGGACCUGUACAAUAUCGUUGGAUUUAUCCAUUUGAGAGGUAAAUUACUAUUAUACUUUUGUAAGUAUUCAAACUUUCUUCUUCCAAUUACUUAUAUAUCUAAUGCCUAUUAUAUGAUUCAUUAAGUUUAUGAAAACACUUAAAGGAUAUGUUAGAAAUCGUUCAAGACCUGAGGGCUGUAUAGCAGAGUGUUAUUUAGCCGAUGAAUGUAUGCAUUUUUGUAGUGGUUACAUGAAACAAGCUGCUGAAGUAGGUGUUCGACAUACUCGGAAUGAAGAUUUUGAGAAUGAAACAAUUAUUGAGGGACAUCCAAUUUCUAAAGGAAAGUCAAAGACUUUGAGUCCAGAAAUGUUAGAGGUCGCACAUCGUUAUGUACUAAUUAACAGCGUUGCAGUUGAACCAUACAUAAUGUAAUGAAGCUAGUUAAUUUAUUAGUUUAACAUUGAUUAAUAUUCUCUCAAACUUAUUUUAUUUUUAUUUAUUUAUUUUCGUUUAGGAUGCAUAAAGAGGAGAUUAAAAAUUCAGAUAGCCGUAUUGCCAAGAAUGAAACCUUAUAACAAAUGAGACAUAUGGAGACUUUCACUUCUUGGUUUGCGGAGAAAGUUAAAUAAGACAAUUGUAAAAUGUCUAAUACAUUGAAAUGGCUUGCAUGUCGACCUAGAUAUGAUGUGAUGUCACAUUCUGGUUAUGUUAUCAAUGGACAUCGAUUUUAUACAACUAAUGUUAGUAGAAGUGCACAAAACAGUGGUAUUUCUAUUGAAGCACAAACUAUUUGUCGGUCCAGUGUGAAGGAUAUAAGCCAUGUAGUUGAUAAAAUAUCUUAUUACGGGGUUAUCAGAGACAUUAUUUUACUAGAUUAUCAUAGUUUUAAAAUUCCUAUGUUACAUUGUGAUUGGGCAAGUAUAGAUAGUGGAGUCAGGAUUGAAGAAGGAUUUACCUUGGUAAAUCUUCAUAAAAGGACAACAUCAAUUUGAAAGAGAUCCAUUUAUUUUAGCUUUACAAGCAAAACAAGUUUUUUAUUCUAGAGAGAGCGAUACAUCUAAUUGGUAUAUUGUAUUUAAGGUGUAAUACUCCAAAUUUUGUACUCAUUUAAUUUUUAGAAUAGCAAUUUAACUUUUCAAAAUUUAGUAUGACCAAAUUAUUUAUGGUUGCCAAAUUUUGCAUUGGUUGAUUUAUUAAAAGUUUUUCCAAAUAAUUUGUUAAUUAGGGGUUUGGGAUAAAUUUCCAUUUUACACCUAAUUACUAAAGUUAAACAUUGUUUCUCCAACUUGGCCGAAAAUUGAUGAAACAUAUAUGCAUGAGGUGUUUUUAAUUUAAGCAUGAGGUGACUAACUAAUGUAUGAGGUGUUUUGGAUUUAAGAAAAUGAAACCAUACAGCCUACACAUGUUGAAUUUCUUGAAGAGUCACCCAAAAUUAAUCAUUUUUCUCACCUAUAAAUAGAUGUGUUGCUGCCCUUUAUUUCUCUUGCAUGAAAAAUAACUUAUCGCUUGUUUGAAAAAGGGCAGAAAACGUGAGGGAAGAAAAGGACCAGCCUAGCAUUUCUCAAUUCAUUUUCAACCAAGAUUUCUUCAAAUUUUAUUGUAAGAUAUUUUCUAUGCUUAAGUGGUAUGAUUUCAUGGUAAUAUUUAUGCUUAAGCUAUGCAUGAAAAACCAUAAUAUGAAUGUGGGGGACAAGUCCACAAAGUUAGAUAUCUAUUUAUGCCUUAGGACAAGUCCGAAGGGUACCGGCAAGCCGGAAUGUGCAAGUAUGUGUUUGAUUGCAUUCUUUUGUGUAGUAUUAACAUGAUAAAAUCCAAGCAUGGUAUCUUACUGAGUAUUCUUUAUACUCAUAGUGUUCUAUACCAAAAUUUCAUAUUCAUAAUUGUGGAGUUGGUGGAAGUCAGUCGGCAAAAAUCGAUGAUGGAUCAAGGACAAAAUUAUUUUAUAUCGAAGUUUCUGUUUUGUAUGUUUUGUUUGACUGCUUUCCAUAUGUUUUGCUUUUGUUAUUAUAUAAAAACAUGUAUAAGACAUGAUGUAAUAUGAUACUGGAAGUAAAUUAUGUAAUUAUAUCCAUCAUGUUAUGUUAAGAGACGUUUUUUUUUUUGUUUUUUUUUGUUUUUACUUUCCCUUGCAAGUGAUAAAAAGGCAGAAACGGGACAGUUUUUGGGUCAACUUCAACAAGUUAUUUUUGACUUCAUAAACGUCCAUUUGAGACUCUGAAAAUAUUACUGCGUUCCGCAUUGAGUUAUCUUAAUAUGGGCACAAGAAUCACUCAAUUUGGAUAUCUGUAGCCUGAGAUAUGAACUUUUAAACGUUAAAGGGUCAAAUCUGAAAUUUCUGUUCAAUACCUCACUGUUUUCAGUAAAACACCCAUAUUAUAUGAUCUUGGAAAUUUUUUAUAUUUUAACCUAAAAAACUACUUGAAAAUAUCUUUCUAAUGUCAUAAAUUUCAUAGAAAAUGGAGUUGGGAUGAAUUUUAUAAAAAUAGUCAAACUUGCUGCCCCAACUAACCGUGGCAGUGCAGAGUCCGUAUAUGUAAAGUAUAAUUUCUUGUCGAUAUUCGCUUCUGCGAACCAUUAAAAUUUAUGAGAGACAUUUUAACAAGUUGAAAAUAAGUUUCUAACAUGUAAUACUUCUAUUUAAGAGUAUUUACAUGUACCAAAGGCAGAAGCUAUUAUGUUUAGUACGUGACACUUGAAACUUAAGUUCGGGGCGUCACAUCGUGGUAUCAGAGCAGUUAUACUAUUUUGUAAACUUUUUUUUUAAAGAAAGUUACUGUCCUUCAUCAUCGAGCAAGCUAGCAACUGACUUUCAACUGACGAUCAAGAUAAAAACUUUUUUUUUAAAGUUUAUGAGUUUUCUUAUGUAAUGAACUGCUAUAUCUAUGGCUGGAUAUACGAAUAUUUUGAAUCAAGUCAUGGUUGGGAUUAUGAAGUCAUAAACACUUAUAUCUAAAUAUUUAUUAGAGCAUUGUAGAGUAAUAUAAUCAAUUUUUGUCCUAGUUAUGGCACGAACGGUAAAAACCCCCACAAGGACAAAAGUUUGUGGUUUUGCGAAGAAGCGGGACAUAUUAUUGGCAUUUUACUAUAAUUAUUGUAUGCAUCCGCUCCAUAGCCCCGAACAACAUCUUGAUCUAGACUGUAUUAUUGAGAUGUUACGGGAGUUAUACCAUAGCUUAAGGGAUAAGGUGAAGAUACGGAGGUUAUAUGAAACUGUUCCAGAACCUUGGGCCUCAGUCAUAAAUGAGAUUGUGCUAUGGUCUGACGGUGACCUUUCAUACGAGGACCUUACAUAUUUACUUCGAGAAAGUUAUGAAACUAGCCGCGAUUUACAGCAAAACUUUAAGAAGUCUAUAACCUUAUCCAUGAAUACUAGUUUACGAGCUACCAAUUCUAGGCUAGAUAACGGACCGUUGGCUAAGUGAUUUUCGAGAGUUCUAGAUGAAAGUUUUCCCGUACCAUUACCAGAUAAUUUGGAGUAAAGCAUGUUAGAGGAAGGCCCAGAUGAAGACCCCGAUGAGGAUGCACAAGAAAUAGAAGAUUAGACACCAUCUUAUCUAGCUAUCUUUUCUUUUCUUUUUUUGAAUAGAAUAGGAUGUAAUACGUACAUCUACUUUUGAAUGUAUGCACCGUACCUCAAUAUGACUUUUGUUUGUGAAAAAUAAUAAUGUAUUUAUAUGAAGGAAAGUUGCCUUGACCUUUGGAUUUUUUUUUUCUAAAGUUAGCAUUACGUUCUAAAGUAAUUCUAACUGGAGGAAUAUCUUUCAUUCAAAGGAAAUGCCUCCAAAGCGCAACCACGGCAGUGCACCGAAGUCCAAUAUGAACUUAGGCGGUGGCAAUACUAAUGUCAGUUCUAGUGGUGGCGAAAUUAAUGUAGCAAACUUUGCACGAGAAUUGUUGGCCGUAAUGCGGGAAUUGGGACAAUAACAACAACAAGCACCACCAUUGACUGGACAACGAACACUAUAUCAACAAGUACCAAUUGAUCAUCAGGAGCCCAACCAACCAGCUAUUCAACCUCAAAUAGUACCUAACCCGAGGGAUCGAACUGCAAUGAUAGAGCAGUUUCGUAAAAUGAACCCUCCAUCAUUCGAGGGGAGUAUGGAUCCCUUGACAGUUGAAGACUGGUUACGAGAACUAGAACGUAUCUUUAAAUUUAUAAGAUGCGAAGAUGCUGAAAGGGUAACAUUUUCAGUGUUUAUGUUAAAGAAGGGGGCUAGCCAUUGGUGGGACAUGACUACCAGGUCAUUAGCACCUGCUGAAGAACAUGCUAUAACUUGGGUGAGGUUUAAGGAACUCAUAGAAGAAAAAUUCUUCCCGACUGCCGUGAAAGAUCAAAAGGAGAUGAAGUUCCUCAGACUCCAAUAGGAAACCAUGACCCUCGUGGAAUAUGAACGUAAAUUUGAGGAAUUAUCAAGGUUUGCUCCACAUUUAGUGGAUACGGAGGAAAAGCGGGCUAGAAGAUUUGAAUGUGGGCCUCAACCUUAUAUUCAUGGCAUAGUGUCAGUUCUUGAGCUGAGCACUUAUCGAGAAGUCCUGAAGCGAGCCCAAACUAUUUCUUAUCAAAAACUCAAAACGUUGGAAAUUCUUACCAAGUUCAAAAUUUCUCAGGUAGGAGGAAGUGGAACUUUGAUAGACAAAAUAACGGUAAAGGAAAAGGGAAUAAUGCACCAAAGAAAGGAAAGACGGAGAUAGUAGGAGUUGGUGGUGAUAAGCGUUGUCCUAAGUGCGAUAGACCUCACAAAGGAGAAUGUCUAUUGGGAAAAAAUGUUUGUUUCAAGUGUGGAAAAUCAGGACAUUUCGCUAAAGAAUGCCCCCAGAAUCAGACACAGAAGGCUGGAGAUGACAAGAAAGGAAAAGAAAGAGUUUUCUCCUUAUCCAAGCAAGAAGCAGAACGAGACCCUAACGUCCUCGCAGGUAUCAUCUCUAUUUCCAAUAUGCCUGCAUUUGUACUAAUAGAUUCUGGAGCUACACAUUCGUUCAUUUCUUCUUUGUUUGUUGCAAAGUCUAAAGUGGAAUGUGAAUUCCUUCCGUAUACCUUAGAAAUAUCUCUUCCAUCUGGAAAGAUACUUGUCGCUAGCCAAAUAGCUAGAGGUCUUAGGAUGGAAAUUGAUGGUAGAGAUAUAGCAGUAGAUCUAAUUCCAUUAACGAUAAAAGACUUUGAUGUUAUCCUUGGUAUGGACUGGUUGUCUAAAAACUAUGCAACUAUUCAUUGUACCGAGAGAAUGGUGGUUUUUCGAAGACCGGGCGAGAAAGAGUUUCGUUUUGUGGGAACUGAGGCAAAUACCUCGUCUCGUAUAGUGUCAACAACUCAGGUUGAAAGGACGCCGAGAAAGAAAUUAGGUCAAAGAUUUCUAGCAUCGAUGACCAAUAUUAAACAAGAUAAGUUAUCAGUUGAGGAUGUUCAAAUAGUUCGGCACUAUAAAGAUAUUUUUCCAGAAGACCUUCUAGGUGUACCACCAGACAGGCAAGUAGAGUUUACCAUCGAUUUGGUACCAGGAGCAACACCUAUUUCAAAAGCUCCAUAUCGUAUGGCACCAUUGGAACUGCAAGAGUCGAAGGUACAGUUGAAGGAGCUUCUUGAUAAGGGUUUCAUUAGACCAAGUGUAUCACCUUGGGGUGCACCUGUACUAUUUGUGAAAAAGAAGGAUGGAACUAUGAGGAUGUGCAUUGACUAUCGAGAAUUGAAUCGCCUCACUAUCAAAAACAAAUAUCCACUUCCAAAAAUAGAAGAUUUGAUUGAUCAGCUUAAUGGGGCUACAGUAUUUUCAAAGAUCGAUCUAAGAUCAGGAUAUCACCAAUUGAAAAUUAAGUCAGAUGAUAUCCCUAAGACGGCUUUUAGAACGCGUUUUGGUCAUUAUGAAUUUUUAGUAAUGCCUUUUGGAUUAACUAAUGCCCCGGCAGUAUUUAUGGAUCUAAUGAACAGAGUAUUCCAUGAAUACUUAGACCAAUUUGUUAUAGUUUUCAUUGAUGACAUCUUAAUCUAUUCGAAGAGUAAUGAGGAACGCGAGAAACAUCUCACGAUUGUCAUGGAAACUCUAAGAAAAGAGAAGUUUUAUGCCAAAUUCAAGAAAUGUGAAUUCUGGUUGGAUAAAAUAGGUUUUCUGGGGCACUUAAUCACAACACGAGGAAUUGAAGUAGACCCAACUAAAGUGGAAGCAGUAAAUAAUUGGGUAAGACCAACCAAUGUUAGAGAAAUACGUAGCUUCUUGGGAUUGGCUAGUUACUAUAGAAGAUUUAUCGAGGGAUUUUCUAAAAUAGCAGGACCAUUGACCCAGUUGACUCGAAAAGGGAUAAAAUUUCAAUGGACAGAGAAAUGUGAACAGAGCUUCCAAGAGCUGAAACAAAGAUCAGUCACAACUCCAGUGUUAACAAUACCUGACGGACCAGAAGGAUUUGUUAUAUACAGUGAUACUUCGAAACAGGGUAUAGGAUGUGUUCUGAUGCAGAAAGGAAAGGUGAUAGCCUACGCUUCUAGACAAUUGAAACAAUAUGAACAAAACUACCCAACCCAUGAUCUAGAAUUGGCUGCGGUAGUUCAUGCCCUCAAGAUAUGACGUCAUUACUUAUAUGGAAAUAAGUGUGACAUUUAUACUGAUCUUAAGAGUUUGAAGUACUUUUUCACCCAAAAGGAAUUACAUAUGAGGUAGAGGAGAUGGCUAGAGCUAGUAAAGGAUUAUGAUUGCACUAUCCUUUACUAUCCUAGUAAAGCUAAUGUAGUAGCAGAUACUCUUAGCAGAAAGGCGGUUGGACAAUUAGCAGUACUAAUCACUAUGCAGGACCAGUUGUUAAAAGAUUUCGAAAACUUACAUCUAGAAGUAAUUGUUCCACCAACCCAAACUAUCACUAGGAUAGCGGCUCUAACGAUUCGACCAAUGCUUAGAGAUCGAAUAAGAGUAGCACAAGAUGGUGACUCUUUCCUGCAAAAGAUCAAAUCUGAAGUUGGUACUAGCAAGCGAAAGGAUUUUGGAUUAGGCAGUGAUAAAGCCUUACUCUUUAAGGGAAGGUUGUGUGUGCCGAAAGAUGAGGGAUUGAGAAAAAAAAUUCUUGAAGAAGCAUACUUAACUCCAUAUACUGCCCAUCCAGGAGGUACAAAAAUGUAUCGUGAUCUAAGGAGUAUGUUUUGGUGGAGAAAUAUGAAACAGUGCAUAGGUCUUUUUGUCAGGAGAUGCAUGACUUGUCAACAAGUGAUUGCUGAACAUCAAAGGCCAUCUGGGUUGUUGGAACCAUUAACAAUUCCACAAUGGAAAUGGGAGCAUAUAACUACGGAUUUUGUUAUGGGUUUUCCAAAAUCAGCUAAGGGAAAUGAUGCUAUGUGGGUUAUAGUGGAUCGGUUAACAAAGUCAGCUCAUUUUCUACCUGUAAGAGUAAAUUUUAUUAUGGAUCAAUACAUGCAAUUAUACAUCAAAGAGGUCAUCCGUUUGCAUGGUAUCCCAGCCUCAAUUGUAUCGGAUAGAGAUCCAAGAUAUACCUCAAAAAUUUGGAAAAGUUUGCAAGAAGCUAUGGGAACCAAGUUAAACUUCAGCACAACUUUUCAUCCGCAAACUAAUGGGCAAUCGGAGAGGACUAUACAGACUUUGGAGGAUAUGCUGCGUGCAUGCGUCCUUGAUUUAGGGGGCAGUUGGGAAAGUUAUGUACCACUGGUAGAAUUUGCCUAUAAUAAUAGCUAUCAAGCUACGAUAAAGAUGGCACCUUACGAAGCUCUUUAUGGCAGAAGAUGUAGAGCUCCCCUUUAUUGGGAUGAAGUAGGUGAACGAAGAGUUUUAGGACCCGAAAUAAUUGAGGAAACUAGUCGAGCGGCUGAUAAAAUAAGAGCUAGAAUCAAGGCAGCCUAGGACCGACAAAAAGUUAUGCCGAUAAAAAAAGAAAAGAUUUGGCAUUUAAUGUUGGUGAUAAAGUUUUCUUAAAAGUGGCACCGAUGAAGGGAGUUCUUCGCUUUGGAAAGAAGGGAAAACUUCGACCAAGAUUCGUAGGUCCUUUUGAAAUUUUGUAGAAAGUUGGAAAUGCAGCCUAUCGAAUAUCUCUACCACCAGAUUUGUCAGCAAUUCAUGAUGUGUUCCACGUGUCAAUGCUUCGACAAUAUGUGUCAGAUCAAAGUCAUGUGGUUAGUUAUCAACCAUUGGAUAUCAAACGAAACAUGACUUAUGAGGAAAAACCAGUAGCAAUAUUGGAUCGCAGAAUCCAACAACUGAGGACAAAGGAAAUUCCGUUAGUGAGAGUUCAAUGGAGAAACCAUAAUGUCGAAGAGUCAACUUGGGAAAGAGAAGAGGAAAUCAAGAUCAAGUAUCCAGAACUUUUCAACUAAGUUCAAGGUAAUUUCGAGUACAAAAUUUUUAUAAGGGAGGAAGGAUGUAAUACUCCGAAUUUUGUGCUCAUUUAAUUUUUAGAAUAGCAAUUUAACUUUUCAAAAUUUAGUAUGACCAAAAAAUUAUUUAUGGUUGCCAAAUUUUGCAUUGGUUGAUUUAUUAAAAGUUUUUCCAAAUAAUUUGUUAAUUAGGGGUUUGGGAUAAAUUUCCAUUUUACACCUAAUUACUAAAGUUAAACAUUGUUUCUCCAACUUGGCCGAAAAUUGAUGAAACAUAUAUGCAUGAGGUGUUUUUAAUUUAAGCAUGAGGUGACUAACUAAUGUAUGAGGUGUUUUGGAUUUAAGAAAAUGAAACCAUAAGCCUACACAUGUUGAAUUUCUUGAAGAGUCACCCAAAAUUAAUCAUUUUUCUCACCUAUAAAUAGAUGUGUUGCUGCCCUUUAUUUCUCUUGCAUGAAAAAUAACUUAUCGCUUGUUUGAAAAAGGGCAGAAAACGUGAGGGAAGAAAAGGACCAGCCUAGCAUUUCUCAAUUCAUUUUCAACCAAGAUUUCUUCAAAUUUUAUUGUAAGAUAUUUUCUAUGCUUAAGUGGUAUGAUUUCAUGGUAAUAUUUAUGCUUAAGCUAUGCAUGAAAAACCAUAAUAUGAAUGUGGUGGACAAGUCCACAAAGUUAGAUAUCUAUUUAUGCCUUAGGACAAGUCCGAAGGGUACCGGCAAGCCGGAAUGUGCAAGUAUGUGUUUGAUUGCAUUCUUUUGUGUAGUAUUAACAUGAUAAAAUCCAAGCAUGGUAUCUUACUGAGUAUUCUUUAUACUCAUAGUGUUCUAUACCAAAAUUUCAUAUUCAUAAUUGUGGAGUUGGUGGAAGUCAGUCGGCAAAAAUCGAUGAUGGAUCAAGGACAAAAUUAUUUUAUAUCGAAGUUUCUGUUUUGUAUGUUUUGUUUGACUGCUUUCCAUAUGUUUUGCUUUUGUUAUUAUAUAAAAACAUGUAUAAGAUAUGAUGUAAUAUGAUACUGGAAGUAAAUUAUGUAAUUAUAUCCAUCAUGUUAUGUUAAGAGACGUUUUUUUUUUGUUUUUGUUUUUACUUUCCCUUGCAAGUGAUAAAAAGGCAGAAACGGGAUAGUUUUUGGGUCAACUUCAACAAGUUAUUUUUGACUCCAUAAACGUCCAUUUGUAAUAUGGGCACAAGAAUCACUCAAUUUGAAUAUCUGUAGCCUGAGAUACGAAUUUUUAAAAGUUGAAGGGUCAAAUCUGAAAUUUCUGUGCAAUACCUCCCUAUUUUCAGUAAAAUGCCCAUAUUAUAUGAUCUUGGAAUUUUUUUAUAUUUUAACCUAGAAAACUGCUUGAAAAUAUCUUUCUAAUGUCAUAAAUUUCAUAGAAAAUAGAGUUGGGAUGAAUGUUAUAAAAAUAGUCAAACUUGCUGCCCCAACUAACCAUGGCAGUGCAGAGUCCGUAUAUGUAAAUUAUAAUUUCUUGUCGAUAUGCGCUUCUGCGGGCCACUAAAAUUUAUGAGAGACAUUUUACCAAGUUGAAAAUAAGUUUCUAACAUGUAAUACUUCUAUUUAAGAGUAUUUACAUUUACCAAAGGUAGAAGCUAUUAUAUUUAGUACGUAACACUCGAAACUUAAGUUCAGGGCGUCACAAAAGGCACCUUCCAGAGGAUUUCAUGAGUUAGAAAAUUUUGAUGAGGAGGCUUAUACUCCAUCCACUUUAGAUGCAGAUGCAUUAAGACUUGAUAUGACCGUUGAAGAAGAAGGUUAUGUAAGAUAUGAUUGUGAAGGCAUUGAUAUUUUUAAGAUUCUUUCUUACUCUAUUUUAAUUUAAAGGUUAUGUGAUAUUAUAAUGAUGUUAAUGUCUUUAUUGUCUCUAAUUCCAUUAUUUCUUGCUUUAUUUUUGUAGAUGCAAACGAUGAAAGCUGAGUUUUGUUGAUGCUGUUGUCCACACGAGUGAAAUAAGAUGACAUAUCAUGGUGAAGUAAGUUCCCAUAUUGUAAAUAUAAUAAUUUUUAUUAGUAAAUUCAAGUAAAAUAUUUCUUGUUUUUCUUAUUUGUUUAAUACAGUCCUCUAAUCAAGGCUACACAAAGUCAAAACAAGCUAAAAAAAACUUUAAAUGUUGCUGUCACAAGAGAAGAUAAUGAAGGGAUAAGAAUAUCAGAAGGAGGUUCUAAUUCUGUUCAAAAUAUACAAGUCAAUGAUGUGCAACAUGAUGUAGAAGUGCUGCCUAAUAGUGCUAGUACUACUGCCUAAAUUGAAUUAUCUCAACAAGGGAAAGGGCGCGAAAUUACCAGUAGAGUUUAAUGAAAGAGGUCAGCCAAUUUGUAAAGGUUCAACUAAGUUAUCAUCAUUUAUUAGGAUCACAACUAGAGAACUUAUACGAAUUACAUAGAAAAAUUGGAAAGAUAUCAGCAAAAAUUUUCUUGAUGACAUAUGGGAGUAGGUACAGGUAAUAUAAACUUUGCAUCUCUUAUAUAAUUUAAACUAAAUUACUAUUAAUAUUAAGUACUUUGCUACAGCAAAAGUUUGAUGUUGAUACUUGUCAUAGAAAAUAUAUCAUGCAAAAAAUGGGAAAGAUUUGGCAGAUCAUCGAUCUAAUGUGCUUAAAGUAAUCAAUGAAAGAGGAAAAACAAUUGGUAUAACACGAGCUGCUACUCUCCUCAAGCACGAUAAUGUUAAAUCAAUGGAAGUAUGGCAAGCAGUUGUCAAAGAACGCAAUUCUCAACCGUAUAAGGCAAGCUGUCAUUACUUUUUCCUAAAUUGCUUAUUGUAUCUGCUCUAUAUUCCUAAUAAAAGUUUUGCUUACACACUACUAAUUGAUGUUGUAGGAAAAAAGUGAAAGAUUCAGAAAGAUGAGAGCAGGUCAAACCUUAAUGCAUACAACAAGUAAAAAGGGCUUUGCUUGUUUAGAAGCUGAAAUAGUAAAAAUUUGUUAAAUUUAAAGUUAAAUUUGCUUGACAAAUUAUAAACGUUUACGUUAUUACAUAUAUAAAAUAAGUGAAAUGCAGCAUGCCGAAAGUGAAGACCUAGAUUCCAUAAUGAGAGAUGAUGUUUAUAUUCGAGGGCAUACGCGAAAAAAUGGUGAACCUAUUAAUGAAUCAGCUGGGGAAACAAUGGUAACAAUAUUGCUUUUCGUGAUUUUUGGUCAUUCAAAGCUUAUAUUUAUAAUUUUAGCCCAUUAAUUUAUUUCCUCAUGUUAGAACAAAAUAAAAGCAUAUUCAAAGACGGUUACCUCUCCUAGCCAACACUCCCUUAAAGAUGAUGGUGUUGCUAGAGUACUUGGUCCUGAACGUUGAGGACGGGUAAGAGGUCUUGGUUUCGAUGCAACUCCUUCAAAGUUGAGUGCUUUGGUGCACAAUCAUAACUUGCAAACUCAAGUCCAAGAGUUGAGAGAUGAAAUUAAAGAGUUAAAAGCUUUGUUUCGAAUGAAGAGUAAGAAUGUUGAACAAGAAGAUAAUGUAAGUGAAAAAUAAAAUUAUUGAACGUUAUUCUAAAUUACAUAUGAUUUCUAUAUUCAACAUAAUAAAUUGUACAAUUGGUUAUGAAUUUUACAACCUAGAGAUGGAAGCUUGAAUGGUUCAAAUAACCUUCAAAAUAGGAAAUGCAAAUUGUUAUCUUGGUUUGAGAAAGCUGAUGUUGUUGCAAAAUGUGAAAUCGCAUCAACAAAUCCAAGUGAUUUGGUGCAUCAUUUACCACUUGGUAAUGAAUGUUGGAGAGUUUGGGUUAAUGAAGUGAUUGAUAAUGUCAGCUUAUAUCAUCCUACACGUGAGCUUUUUCUUCUUGAAGAUGCAUUAGGAAGUACAAUAGCAUGGCCAACUAGAUACCUUGAAGUGGAUUCGCUAUAAUCACAAUGAAGGUAUGCUUGACUUCUUUUCUAUUUUAAUUUCACAAUUCAUUAGGCAAAUAUGUUACAAUUCAAGUCCUCCUAGCAUUCUUGCUUAUGUGGGUCUAACACUUUUAAGUGGCCAUUGAUGACCAUUGAGUGGAACUUGAUCACUGACAUUUGAUGAAAUUUCAGGUAUAGGCAGAUUACAAAUGAGCAUUGCUGAAGUCUCACCCAGAUCGUGCUCCGCACUCAUGUGAUUGGAAAGCAUUCUUUUGUUUGUAAAAUAACUUAUUAGUGUUGGUUGAACUUAUGUCUGUUGGUUGAGAAGCAAUUAGUUAUGAAUCAAGCUUGUCAUUUCUUGAACUUAUGUCUAUUGAUUGAGAAAAUGAAAAGUAGUUGUAACAUUUUAUUUAUAUAUGAUAAAUGUUAGUGUUUUCAUCUUUAAGCUUAGAAUAACUAAUUAGUUUAAUGUAGUUUAUCAUGCUAGCUUGUACUCAAAGAGUUGGA